UACGUAGGGUGCAAGCGUUGUCCGGAAUUAUUGGGCGUAAAGAGCUCGUAGGCAGUCUGUCGCGUCGGAUGUGAAAACCCGGGGCUCAACCCUGGGCCUGCAUUCGAUACGGGCAGACUAGAGUUCGGUAGGGGAGACUGGAAUUCCUGGUGUAGCGGUGAAAUGCGCAGAUAUCAGGAGGAACACCGGUGGCGAAGGCGGGUCUCUGGGCCGAAACUGACGCUGAGGAGCGAAAGCGUGGGGAGCGAACAGG
rnacentral:rRNA from 1 species